UACACGCGUAAAAAUUGAGAAAAUCAACAACCUGUUGCAAGUUGAUAUCGACAGGCGUGAACAAGGUUGUGCGGCCCACUAUGAACAGUAUUGUCAACAUGUUGUUGCAGCAUUGUUCAACUGUAACAACUUGGAACAACAUGGUUGACAACUUGUUCAUAGUUGGCCGCACAACAUUGUUAACGCCUGUCGAUAUCAACUUGCAACAACCUGUGCGUUUUUAGCCGUGUAUAUAAUAUUUUUUCUCAGCGGUUUUCUAUAAUCGAGUACUUCAUGUAAAAAGAAUAUAAGGGAUCGUGAGAACUAUAGUUAUUUUUUGUUAGGAAAGGACGAUUAAUUGAUGAAUAUAUACAUUGAA